rnacentral:rRNA from 1 species
UUGUGACACUGUUUGUCGAACGAUGCUUACAUUUAGUGUGAUCCUCGUUCUAGAUGAGAAAUAUAUUGCAACAUGUAUCUUGGUGCAAUCCAAGAAGCACGGAUGUCGUGACCUCGUUGUCACUGUCAAAGCGUUCAGCGACUAAGAAUGCUUUGGCGGGGCCUGUAUGACAACUGCGGUUUCAUGUCAUUUGCAAUGCAACCUGAGCUCAGUCGUGAUUACCCGCUGAACUUAAGCAUAUCACUUAGCGGAGGAAAAGAAACUAAACGUCUGGUUCAGGGUUGUUAGCGGAGGAAAGAAACUAAA